rnacentral:rRNA from 1 species
AUUGAACGCUGGCGGCAGGCCUAACACAUGCAAGUCGAGCGGAUCGUCGGACGCGUGAGUAAUGCCUAUGACUCUGCUUGGUUGUGCGGGAUAACGUCCGGUAACGGGCGCUACUACCGCUUACUAUCAGAUGAGCCUAGGUCGGAUUUGCUCGUUGGUGGGGUAAAGGCCUACCAAGGCGACGAUCCGUAAAUGGUCUGAGAGGAUGAUCAGUCACACGGCAACGGAGACACGGUCCAAAAUCCUACGUGAGGCAGCGUGGGGGAAUAUUGGACAAUGGGCAAAAGGCUGUACCAGCCAUGGCGCGUGUGUGAAGAAGAUCUUCGGAGUGUAGAGCACUAUAAGUUGCGGGGCGGUACCUACAGAAUAAGCACCGGCUAACUUCGUGCCAGCAGCCGCGGUAAUAC